rnacentral:rRNA from 1 species
CAGUAGCCGCGGGAAUACGGAGGGUGCAAGCGUUAAUCGGAAUUACUGGGCGUAAAGCGUGCGUAGGCGGCUUUGUAAGUUAGAGGUGAAAGCCCGGGGCUCAACCCCGGAAUUGCCUUUAAGACUGCAUCGCUUGAAUCGCGGAGAGGUGAGUGGAAUUCCGAGUGUAGAGGUGAAAUUCGUAGAUAUUCGGAAGAACUCCAGUGGCGAAGGCGGCUCACUGGACGCGUACUGACGCUCAUGCACGAAAGCGUGGGGAGCAAACAGGAUUAGAUACCCCCGUAGUCCCUGUCUCUUAUAC